CAUAAGUGUUAAGCUGGCGAAUGAAGCUGGAGAAGUUACUGUGCUUGAAGUACUUAGGAAGCAGAGUAGUGGAGAACUUAUGACAGUCCCAAACGAUGAAGCUAUUGAAACCUCUGCUCCAUGAAACCACGGAGUCCGUCGAUGGGUCUUCCACCAUUUCAUAAGUCUUGGUCAGAAAUGGAGGUGGACCCACAUCGUGCAGCCCCUCCAUUGGCUGCGGUUGGAAGCUCGAAGAUGAGGAAAAAGAAGGUACAUCUCCUGCAGCGUAUGUCACAGUCUCCUCCUCUUCUUUCAUUACCACUCCCUCCAUUGCGCAUGUUUUUGUGUAUGCUCCUUUCUCUUGAGUGCCUCAUAAAAUGGAAAAAUCCUGAGGGAUUUUGAUUGUCAGCUUAUUUUUCUGAAGCCUCUAAGAAGUUUCUGCCACUUGGCAAUGAAGUUGGCUUCAGACAAUUAAUCGUGAAAGUUCUGGAAAAUGAAAAAUUCU
rnacentral:misc_RNA from 1 species